rnacentral:misc_RNA from 1 species
AUAUUGCGAUAGAGAGAUACGUUGUUAUUUCUUUAAAUGUAGCAAGCUUAUGGUUAAUGGAAACGUUCACCCAUACAUUCCCAUUUCUGCAUAUAUUGGACAUUUUAAUCACAGGAUGAUUGAAAGUAUUCGUCGAUAGGAAAUAAUUUUCCGUUCAAAGAGAAAGAGAGAGAGAGAGAGAUCAAUUCAUCCGAAACUCUGCUGUUUCCCUUGGGUUUUUCUCGAAAAAGAUGUUACAGAAUAACAAAUGUUCCCACGAGCUGAAUCAAGUCACCUAGCCGCGUUUCUUUGUCAUCUCAGGAAUUGCAAAGCAGACGUAAAACCGUCGCCGACGGGUUAUGGCUUAAUAGGGCCGCUUUGUACUUGUCGCGAGGGGAAGUAAAAAAAGGAGAAAACAGCUAUUCCACUCCCAGAGUGACAAGCAAAAACGAGAACGAACAGUUGGGUGAAGGAGGGGAGGGACGAAGGUCGAUAGCUGGUUAUCACAUCGCGAACAAGUGUUAGUAAAAAAGGAUCUGGCAUGAGAAGAAUCAAAGUGAUGGAGUGUGUAAACACUAAACGUGUUUUCUGAAUAAACAAAGUACUAAGCAUCUCGCUUCUAGUCCAUUUCGAUAGCUUUUGCUUUCGUACACAGCCGAAGGUUGCUUUGAAGCAUAUAUUUUUCCCCCUCAAUUUCAGAUUCCAUUUAAAACGCACAAAGUGAUUUUGAAAUAACUUUAGAAGCAUGAGGAAACAACGUUUCUCUCUACCAAUGUUAAAUUCUAGGAAACAGUAUGUGAGAAAAUAUUAUUUUUCCCGUAUAUUAUAACUACGAUUAUUAUCGCAUAACGAAUCAAAAAAUUAAAUCAACC